rnacentral:rRNA from 1 species
GGACUACCAGGGUUUCUAAUCCUGUUUGCUCCCCACGCUUUCGUGCCUCAGUGUCAGGUACUAACCAGAAAAGCGCCUUCGCCGCCGGCCUUCCCCCAGAUAUCUGCGCAUUUCACCGCUACACCUGGAGUUCCCUUUUCCCCUUUAGUCCUCAAGUCCUGCAGUAUAAAAAGCAAUUCCCCGGGUAAGCCGAGGGAUUUCACUCCUUACUUACAGAACCACCUACGCACCCUUUAAGCCCAGUGACACCGAACAACGUUCGCCCCUCACGUAUUACCGCGGCUGCUGGCAC